UCCCUGGUGGCUCAGAUGGUAAAGCGUCUGCCUGCAAUGCGGGAGACCCAGGUUCAAUCCAUGGGUUGGGAA
rfam:TPA: Bos taurus chromosome 28, whole genome shotgun sequence.